GAUGAAGAACGCAGCGAAAUGCGAUAAGUAAUGUGAAUUGCAGAAUUCAGUGAAUCAUCGAGUCUUUGAACGCACAUUGCGCCCCCUGGUAUUCCGGGGGGCAUGCCUGUCCGAGCGUCAUUGCUGCCCUCAAGCACGGCUUGUGUGUUGGGCUCCGCCCCCCUCCCGAGGGGCGGGCCCGAAAGGCAGCGGCGGCACCGCGUCCGGUCCUCGAGCGUAUGGGGCUUUGUCACCCGCUCUGUAGGCCCGGCCGGCGCCCGCCGGCGACCCCAAUCAAUCUUUCCAGGUUGACCUCGGAUCAGGUAGGGAUACCCGCUGAACUUAAGCAUAUCAAUAAGCGGAGGA
rnacentral:misc_RNA from 1 species